GUGCUCACUUUAACAGCACCUGUACUAAAAUUGGAAUGAUACAGAGACUAGUGUGGUCCCUACACAAGGAUGAUAUGCAAAUGUGUGGAGUGUUCCAUAUUUUU
ensembl:snRNA U6 U6 spliceosomal RNA